AGCACAAAUACCUGAGCUGAGAAAAGAGAGGGGCAGCCCAAGUAGGUAGCUGUUGAAAUUAAAAGCUAAUGACAAGAAAGCAGCUGGAAACAAGCACCAGCGCACACUGCUGCCUCCUUCAAGCAUAUAAAUGCCCAUACCUACCUGCCUAGGUAAGGCACUGCUUACAGUUGAAUGGACCCUGCAAUAUCAACGAGAAUCAAGAGUAUUCCCCACAGGCCAAUCUGAUCUAAGCAAUUCCUCAGUCAAGGUUACUUCUUCCCUUUGAGAAACUUCUUAUCUACUUUGAGAAACUUCAACAAUAAAAAUGAAUUAGCACAA